rnacentral:rRNA from 1 species
UGGGGGAUUUUGCACAAUGGGCGCAAGCCUGAUGCAGCGACGCCGCGUGAGUGAAGAAGGUUUUCGGAUCGUAAAACUCUGUUGUUAGAGAAGAACAAGGAUGAGAGUGGAAAGUUCAUCCCUUGACGGUAUCUAACCAGAAAGCCACGGCUAACUACGUGCCAGCAGCCGCGGUAAUACGUAGGUGGCAAGCGUUGUCCGGAUUUAUUGGGCGUAAAGCGAGCGCAGGCGGUCUUUUAAGUCUGAUGUGAAAGCCCCCGGCUUAACCGGGGAGGGUCAUUGGAAACUGGGAGACUUGAGUGCAGAAGAGGAAAGCGGAAUUCCAUGUGUAGCGGUGAAAUGCGUAGAUAUAUGGAGGAACACCAGUGGCGAAGGCGGCUUUCUGGUCUGUAACUGACGCUGAGGCUCGAAAGCGUGGGGAGCAAACAG